GCCAAAAUACCCGCUCACCUAGAUACCAUAAAAGGCGUUGGUUCAUUUAGACAGCAGGACGGUGGCCAUGGAAGUCGGAAUCCACUAAGGAGUGUGUAACAAUUCACCUGCCGAAUGAACUUGCUCGGGACAUGCAGAUCAAGGAACU
rnacentral:ncRNA from 1 species